UUCUUCUUCCUCUUCGUCUUCUUCGUCGUCGUCGUCGUCGUUCUUGUUGUUGUUGUUGUUGUCGUUGUGGUGGUCGUCGGCGCCGUUCCCACCACGCCAUGUCAUGAACCUGCUACGAUCCAACGGCCACGAGUUGGGUCCAGCCUCAAUGCCUUGGAACCAGCCUCACGCCGGCUGCCGUACUCGUGGCUCCCUGCCUCAGUGGCAAUGGAAGAAAUCGGGAGGAGGAGGAGCUUGGGAAGAGUGUCGUGAGGACGGCUUGCUGCAUCGUUUCGGGGAGAGGUUGGCGUGAACAUGCGAUGAUUGUUGUUGUUGUUCCGUGGGAAUAAGAAGAAGCAGAAGCAGAAGAAGAGAUUGUUGGAGCAGCUUGGUUGCGAAUUGAAGGUAUUGAAGGUUCCGAUGUUCUGGUGCGCGGUUUUGUGGAAGUGCAAUUUUCAGUGGCAGGCUUGUGAGGAAGGGAGGGGAAUUCCGCGGAAGGAUUGUCGUCAUCGCAGGGAAGCUGGUGCGGUCGAUUAUCAUUGUUUUGAGUACGUCUUACCGUUUGCAAUGUCCUCGUGAAUGCUCUUAUGUCGCUGUCGUAGAGAGCGGGACGCUGUUGUGCACUUCCGUGCAGUAGUUAAAGGUUUCGUUUCAAUUUUUGGUCGUAGGAGCGGUUUCUGUGGAUUUGGAGGGAUUUUGAAGAAUUUGGAGCCGACGACGGAAUGGAUUGGAAAAUCUGCGUGGGAGACGUCGUAAUUUGUUUCGUUAGAUCGUCAGUUCUGCGUGCGAGAACGGAGUGGUUGUUUCUUUCGCUCGUGUUGGACGUUAUUAGUGUACAGGCAUUUGUGAAUUCGUGAUCAUCACUCAUGGCUUAAAGCCAAGAUCCUUGCGUUUCUCAGGACGUGAUUUCAUUCUUUUCAAACUAUCCAGGCUUCAAUUUGCAUCGACUUCCUUCAGUGCAAGAAGCAUUCAGCUGCAUUAGUCGCUUCAGCUUUUCUUUUUCUCUCCUGUUUCAGCAGCUUGAAGCGCCACCUCUUUUAACAAUAGCUUUGCCGGAGUCAGUUACGUUCAUGGAGUUAGAAUCUCUACGCUUGUCAACUUGUAGAUGAGCAUGACGAGUUGCGAUCGAAAUGGAUAAAGUGCAAGAGAAUUACUGAUUCCAACGAUCACACGAACAGUGCAUAUUGUUUGUCCUUGUCGUGACAAAAAAAUUCCUAUGCUGUUCUACAUUUCGGUAGACCAGGUAGAAUUCGCGGGUUCGUAACAUGCUCCCCCGGAUGCUUUACAAAUUCGGACUACCUCGGGACAACUUUCGUCGCCACUCUCGUCGUAGAGAUUCAGUUCUUGAGAUUCUGGAUCGUCAGUAUGGCAAGUAGUCAAUCUCCUGGAAGUCUGCUGUUCUCAACAAUCCGGCGUGCAUCCUCGACUUUCUUUUGUUGAACAGAGUCGUGGGGUGGAGAGACUACUAUUAAAAAGUCAAGCUCACAGGAUAGUUGUGAGGCAAAAAUCUACAGAGUUGAAUCUUACAUUUCCCUUUAGUCAUUUGCGCCUCAUCAGCGUCUCCACAACUUUCCUGGUGAGAAAAGUAGGCCGCUUAUACCACUUCCUUGAUUUGCUUUGAUAUAAUUUGAUUCUUGCCGUAGUGGUCAUGUUUUUUCCGUUUCGCAUGGUGAAGCAUCUGCGGAGCAUUCAAUUUGUAUUAUGUGCGGGAGUUUGGAGGAGACUGAAAUUGGGGAGUGAGUUAGGGUUCACACUGCUUGUGCGCCUAUCUAUGAAGGGGCAAAUGCUUGGAAUGUGAUAUUUGUCUUGGAUGUAAUAUCCGGACGAACCUCAAUCAAAAUGCAGUCUCUUUGGACUACUGCUCGCUAAUUGCCAUCUUAGGCAUUUGAAACCACUUUCGAUUAGUGAGGGAAGGCUGGUAUUUGGAGGUUCUAUGAUGGAAUCUGAUGCCUACUGUAUCGACUUGUGACGUUUCGCAUAACAAAGUGAAAUAAUGAUCUGCAAAAAUGGAAGCAUGUGAAACCUCACAAAGAUCUUCGCCACAGAAACCUCAUGCAUAUUUCUUCUGUAUCAAGUUUUUAAGGAUAACAGGAAUACGUCUCCCUAUCCCACCAAUUUCUGGAGCCAGCUCUUCUAAGAAUAGUCAGAGAUAUUUUUUGAAGAUCACUAUCUUACACGGAAUCGAACAACAGAAUAUUGGAGAAUUUGAAGUGAUUGGUGAUGAAUGUGUUAUCAACCAGCAGCUCUCAUGCGAGAUUAAGUAUGGUAGACCAGAUAAGCUUCAUGUAUACAUAGACCAGAACUGGAGUGCUGGUUUGUCUGGACAUAUUACUUUGGAUCUCAAGGAGUUCUUUGAGGACGACGAUGUUGAAAUCUAUCUUGAGUACCCUUUGUUUUCAAGUGGAUCAUCUCAUGUUCGAAGAACAUCCAAGUUGGAGAUGUCAGUAUUGUGUACCUGUUCGACAAAGACAAACGAUUUUCCUGAUCUAAUUGAUCCUAACCAAGAAUAUAUGUAUUUUGAAGAUCUAAGUGAACCAAGACCUUCAUUAGAUGAUCAUUGGUACCCACCGGUCCGGUUGGAUACCGAAAGCAGUCAUGAUGCUCCACCAUUGCUUCUGGAAGGCGAUUCCAAACAGAUUGAAAUGUUGAAGGAGAUGGAAGGUGACCUCAUUGAACUAAAUUCGAAGUUGAACAAAUAUGUAGCAGGUCACAGCUUGGAGAAAUAUGCACCUGGACAAUAUAGAAAUGAAGUUCCGACCAGACCAGAGGUUAUGGCAGCUAUGUUUUUCGCAGCAGGUAUGGCUUUCGAGCGACAGGUUGACAGCGCAUGCAGGCUAAGGAUGUACAGAGCAACAGAUGAUCCACUAUUGCCAGGAGAAACUCCACUUUUAUCUGGAGGGAACACUCCUUUUCUUCUGGAAGAUGUAUCCCCAACUUUCAGAAGAGAUUCUUCCGCGAACCCAGAAGUCAAAGAGGCUGACACGUUCUGCCCGGCGCGAAAAAAAAGCUUUCGAUUGUGUGAAAAUAGCUCUAAUAGUUGCGGUGAGCAAAAACCGUGUAGCUGCACUAGUGAAGUGGCCUCAAGCUUGGCGGGAGAAAUUGAUGAGGAUGACAAUGAUCAAAGUUAUUUCAAUUCCCCCAUUGACGCAAAGGACAUGCCUAUGCGCCUUCCAGAUCCAGAACUAGUAAGUCCAAGGACCUCCAACAAUACAUGUUCACCACAUGGUGAAACUAGUCCGUCAAAAGAGACCAUGAAUGUAAUUACAAAUGAGACUCUUAUUCAGAAAAAUAGCAGUAAAAGGAAAAAUAAGGUGCUAAAUGUUUUAGAUAGUGUAAUUGAGGCCUUCGCGGUCGUAGGAUUAUCUGGUUCUGGAACUAAGGAAACUCAAUAUAGAGGCUGCAAUGACGAAGUAACUGUUCCAAGAUCAAUGCUUGGGCGACAAGAAGUAACAAGUAUUCAGAAGAUUCGUAUGAGCAAUCCAGGUUUAGGUUGGCUCUCAAGUUCAAUGCAGAUCGAUAGAUGCUAGAUCAUAAAACAUUAGUUUCACUCAUUUAGUGCAAGAGGUUUGCCAAACACUGACUUUGCGUGGUUCACCAAUAUACUGGACUCUAUUAUUGUAUGCAGUAUUUGCUCUCUGUAUUGUUGCUGUUCGUUGCUUUGACCCAUAUACUAAGGUUGUUAAUCUUCCUGCUUGUGUAAGCGUGAGUAUCAGUUAACAACCACGUUCUACAAGUUCUGCUGCAUGAUGUAGUCAUUAUCAACUCGAAUUAGGUACGCCCACUUAAGACUCAGAAGCUUGUUCCUAUCACCGGAACGGAACAGGCACUUGGAAGUUAUCAUCAGGUAGGUUUUGCUGAUUGAUCUUGGAGCAGAUUCUGAGUUUUUCAACAGCAUCUUGUCACGGUUAGGUGGUGAUAUCAAUUGCAUUUUCCCUGUCAUUCCAUGCUUAGAAGUGGCAUCUGAUUCAUUCAUAGGGUACUAGUGUAGUUAAGAACGUUCGAAACUAUUGCUGAUUGUGAUCGGUUUUACAACUUGAAACCACAACCCUUAAGAUUGUAGAAUAAAUAAGGGUCUUACUUUAUGCACUCGGAAUAAUUAGUUAAGCAUAAUGAGAAGAGUUUGAUGCUAUAGACGAUAUGGGUUUGUAGGAAAUUCAAGGCUAUGUUGACACUGAGAUGAGCUGACUGUUUUGUACCAGUCAAAGCCUCUGGAUUAGACAACUGUUUAGAUCCUUGAAGUCGGUCCACUGUGAGAUGAAACCCUGGACCCAAUUUAAGGAAUUCCUGUAGUAGUGUAGAUCAUCAAGCCCUUGAACACAGUCAAUCCUAUUACUACAAAGUACUACUGUAAAUUGCAUGGCAUGUAAAUCAUGUGUAAACUCA